UCCUAGUUAACCUAGGCAGUCUCACUAGAGUCCCCACCUUACGUGUUGGCAACUAAUGAUAAGGGUUGCGCUCGUUGCUGGACUUAACCAAACACCUCACGGCACGAGCUGACGACAGCCAUGCAGCACCUGUACAGAGACCCUUGCGGGAUGUAACAUUUCUGCUACAGUCCUCUGUAUGUCAAACCUGGGUAAGGUUCUUCGCGUUGCAUCGAAUUAAACCACAUGCUCCACUGCUUGUGCGGGCCCCCGUCAAUUCUUUUGAGUUUCACCCUUGCGAGCGUACUCCCCAGGCGGUAUACUUAUCGCGUUCGCUCCGACACAGUCGGGGUUGAGCCCAACUACAUCAAGUAUACAUCGUUUACGGCAAGGACUAC
rnacentral:misc_RNA from 1 species